AUUAAGCCAUGCAUGUCUAAGUAUAAGCAAUUAUACCGUGAAACUGCGAAUGGCUCAUUAAAUCAGUUAUCGUUUAUUUGAUAGUACCUUACUACUUGGAUAACCGUGGUAAUUCUAGAGCUAAUACAUGCUAAAAACCCCAACUUCGGGAGGGGUGUAUUUAUUAGAUAAAAAACCAAUGCCCUUCGGGGCUCCUUGGUGAUUCAUGAUAACUUCUCAGAUCGCAUAGCCUUGUGCUGGCGACGGUUCAUUCAAAUUUCUGCCCUAUCAACUUUCGAUGGUAAGGUAUUGGCUUACCAUGGUUUCAACGGGUAACGGGGAAUUAGGGUUCGAUUCCGGAGAGGGAGCCUGAGAAACGGCUACCACAUCCAAGGAAGGCAGCAGGCGCGCAAAUUACCCAAUUCCGAUACGGAGAGGUAGUGACAAUAAAUACUGAUACAGGGCUCUUUUGGGUCUUGUAAUUGGAAUGAGUACAAUUUAAACCUCUUAACGAGGAACAAUUGGAGGGCAAGUCUGGUGCCAGCAGCCGCGGUAAUUCCAGCUCCAAUAGCGUAUAUUAAAGUUGUUGCAGUUAAAAAGCUCGUAGUUGAACCUUUGGCCUGGCUGGCAGGUCCGCCUCACCGCGUGCACUUGUCCGGCCGGGCCUUUUCUUCUGGAGAACCGCAUGCCCUUCACUGGGUGUGUUGGGGACCAGGACUUUUACUUUGAAAAAAUUAGAGUGUUCAAAGCAGGCCUUUGCUCGAAUACGUUAGCAUGGAAUAAUAGAAUAGGACGUGCGGUCCUAUUUUGUUGGUUUCUAGGACCGCCGUAAUGAUUAAUAGGGACAGUCGGGGGCAUCAGUAUUCAAUUGUCAGAGGUGAAAUUCUUGGAUUUAUUGAAGACUAACUACUGCGAAAGCAUUUGCCAAGGAUGUUUUCAUUAAUCAGUGAACGAAAGUUAGGGGAUCGAAGACGAUCAGAUACCGUCGUAGUCUUAACCAUAAACUAUGCCGACUAGGGAUCGGGCGGUGUUUCUAUUGUGACCC
rnacentral:rRNA from 1 species